CACUUUGGCCUGAAAUCCUAUUUUGGCAUUCCCACCUUUGUAUUGCCAGGCUGGCUGCCAUGGUUCACUCACUCAGGAACUUCCCUAGGAGAAAGGGAGGGCACCAGGGGAAGGACACGCACCUCAGCAAGCACCUCCAAGCCUCCAACCCACAGCAGAAGCAGUUUCUGAGUAAGGGCUCCUCCAGUACAGCCUAGCCUUGGAGUAGGGAGCCCUCUUGAUGUUCAGUCAAGCCCAGGCUGCCUCUGGCUAUAAGCGAUCCUUUCCCAGGCCAGCACGAAUGCUCUCCUCUUGAUUGAUUGGUAAUACGGCAGUGAGAAAUCUCACUGGAUUCCUCUGGGACCCACUCCAUCACAACAGACCAAAGGCCACCCCCCCCCAGAAGUGGAUUGAGGCUGUUGUAAAUGUGUUUCUAAAAAGCUGAGAUACAACCAAAACCAAUACCAGGAAGGCAAGCGGGGUACCCAUCUCUGCAGCUGCCAUUGGGGAAGCAAUGGGUUAGAUCAGCAGGGCUCCCCCCAAUUAUGCAGGUGCCCUGCCACUGCCCCCAUGUGCAAGGAGGAAAGGGCUUCCCAUGACAGAGGGCUGCACCCAAAAGCUGCACAUUGACCAAGGCCGGGAGAGUGAAUCACCUGGGGGGGGGGAUUGACUAUUUCUCUUCUAGGUAGCCCCUCCAGGGAUGCCCAACGGGCCUCCUGUGCCUGCUGGUAUCUCAUUCUUGGAAUUAGGCAGGCUCGCUCUCCAGGCCACGCAUGACCUGCCCAAGGCCAAGGUUUGGCCAGCCCAAGACCUCUUUGGUGGCCAUGCCUAGGCUGCCCUUCUGAGCAAAACAGACCAGUGCUAUCCAAAACCAUCUCCUGCAGGCCUGAUUCUGGUCAAACUUACAGCAGCAGCUAUUGUCUUUUGGGAGAAGGGUCUCCUGGCCUCAACUGUUGGGACAAGCAGACCACUUUCAUCUUCUCAGCCAGGCCCUCCCCCAAGCAUUUAGGCUGAUGGUUCUUCCAAGGUCAGUUUUCUCUGACCCUUUCCCCACCACUCCUCAUCCCUGCCAAGCAUCCUACUGUGGCUGGAAAGCUAUGAAUGGUAACUUGGUUGACUGCGCCCUUCUGCCUCACAAUGGGAAUAUCUGAAAUAAUUCCAUACCAAAGUAAGCUGGGUGGCAACCUUUAAAAUCACUGCAUCAUUUAAUGCCAGCAGUACAACGAUCAGAGUCUUGAGUCUGGACAUUGUUGGAAGACGCAUGUGUGAUUAAAAAAAAAAAGCAAACAGCCAUGCAACCAAAAAUCACUGUAAAAAUACCAGUACAAUAUAUACAAAUCCCUUUUCAAAUAAUAUCUACAUUUUAUAGCAUUUUAUAAAGCACUGGCAAAUUUCAUUGAUAACCAAGAUUUGGGUCUAAGUGAAUGGAUCUUGAUUUACAAAAGUCAGAUUGUACAAAUAUCACAGAGCAUCUAUGUCCCUAGGCAGGUUCACAAGACAGAAUACUUCACAAAGAGCACAUUCCUUGACAAGCUGUUCAUUGGUUCCAGGAUCAGGAUGGCUUCUCCACAGGGACUUGCCCACUCCGGACAAGUUUCAAAAGGUUCCUUGGAAAUCUUCUCCAGCCCUUCUCCAUUUCUGGACUUCAAUGUGUUUGCAUACAAAGCCUCCCCAGGUAAGUGGCUGAAAACUGGCAAAGCAGGAAACCAGCUUGGCUUUCCAAGAAAGCUAGCUUGCAUUUGUACCAAAAGGACAUAACUUUCUCUCCCUUCCCAGCGAGUUCUACACUGUGUUACAUUCCCUGGGCAAAAAAAGGAAGAGUAGGAAUCACCAAGGCAGAGAGAGAAAAACAAUACACUGCAAAAUGUUUUGACACCCCCCCUCCCCACCAAUCCAUUUCAGAUUAAACACUGCUAAACCUGGGCAUGAACCCUGCUCCUGUCAGUCACGCCCUGCAGUCUGUCAAGCUGCAAAGCCCCAAGCUGCCAAAGGAUUCUUAUCCCUUGGUUUCUAACAGAGCCAGCAGCCCUUCUACAUGCACUUCACAGAGAAGCCGCAAUCCUGGGCUGCUCAUUUGCUCUGUGGGGAAGGCGCAUCCCUCGGGCAGAAAAGAGGCUGCCUCAGCCCCAACAGGCCCACGUAGCUCAGCCCGUUGCUGAGAGGACCAAGAGCCGUAUGGUGGAAUCUCCAAAUUGCCUGCCUCAAGAGCACACCAGCGCACACAGAUGCUCAUCCUUCAGGCGGUUCUUGCCAGGCUGGAUCAGGGCAAAAGGUCAGUGCUUUUAACUCCAAAACAGCUGACCAAGAGAGGGCAGGGGGAGAGAUGAAGCAGCCUUUUGAAGACUAACAGGUGCAACUUACUUCUCUGCAUUUGAGAAGAGACCAAAUCCAUCAGUUACAAGUACCGGAAAGACAGAAACAAGCCGAGGGGCUUCCAGCUCUGUUCAGCAAUUCUGGAUAGACCAAAUUUGUGGGGUUACUCUUGCUUGUUACAAAAAGGGCCCUUCAUCCACAGCAACCUCCCCCCCCAUUGUCUAGUCUGGUUUUUAAGGGAACGGGCUCUGUGCCAGGGCUUUCUGGGAUGCCAGAAGGUCAUGGCUGCCCCUGCACAGAAGAUCGUGGAAACAAAUGUUCCUUUGCGGGAAUGACAAACCUCUCGUUUCUGAACACCGGGGUUCCAUUUGCUUUUUAGAGGAGUGCAGGAGACAUACAAGCAAAUUAGUGUUAUUAAUAAUUUAAUUUCAAUACUACAAACUCUGUUUUGGUAGAAGGCAUCACUUCUUCAAGAGGCCGCCCACCAGAGACAGAAACAGCCUGUUAUAGCCUGGCUGCAUCGUAUCCGAAUCCGGCAACCCAAGAAAACGGCAGAAAGAUAUUUAAAACAAAAUUCAAUAGAGUUACAAAAAUAAUUCAUCAUGGUUACUUCUCCAUAAUAAUUUUUGCUGUGCUAGAUUUUUUUUAAAAAAAGGCUAUGAUACACAUAUAUUGUUACAGUUUAGAAACAAAGAUAGAUAUAUUCUACAGAUCAGCAUGGCUGACAGUUUCACCCCUUCGUAGGGCACACUAAGAAACUGACAUAUCCUUUCAUCCUCUAUUCGACAGACAAUAAAUACCUGAAGAGGAGAAGCGGAGGGGGGGGGGAAUGGAGACAUGGCCCAGCCACUGUGCAAAGGAGGAGGGAAGGGCUGGCAGAACCAGCUAGAGCAGGAUUGAAGACACUGAAGGAUUCCGAGUGGACCUCAGAUCAAUCCGCAACGGAAGCCGGAAGGGCCAUGACACAAUACUGCCUGGGGUGGCUCAGGACCCCUGUGACUUUCCUACACGGUCGCUUGGAGAUUACACUCAGCAAAGCUCAAAAAGAUGGCGGUACACAGUCAAUGGCAAUUCAUGGAAUUUUUAAAAAGUGAAGAACACUGCUGCUGCUUUCGGACACAAGGCUGCA